rnacentral:lncRNA from 1 species
UGAGCCGUGUUGAUCUUCUUUUAUUGUAGACAUGGAUGUGGGCAUGGCUCGAAGGUUAGCCCAAGGUCUCAAGACCCACAAGAGAAAAGAUGCCUCGACUUCGGGGUCGGUGAAGAAAGCCAGGAUAGAAGGGACAAGCUCGACUGUGCUUGCUCAGGUGGCCGUUGCCAUCGACGUCCCUUCCGACGCCGAACCCGAAGUCCCUCGAGCCCUUUCAAGGAGCCCCCCGAC